UGGAAUUUGGUCUUUUCCGGCCCA
rnacentral:piRNA from 1 species